rnacentral:misc_RNA from 1 species
UUUUGGUAAUGUUGCUUUUGUUUCUCAAUUUGAACCCAAAACAUAUGAUGAUGCUCAAAAUGAUGAAAAUUGGCUUUUUGCUAUGCAAGAGGAAUUAAAUCAGUUUGAAAGAAACAAAGUUUGGACACUUGUUCCUAAACCUAAAAAGCACACUGUUAUUGGAACUAAAUGGGUAUUUAGGAAUAAGAUGGAUGAAAAAGGACAUGUAGUUAGAAAUAAAGCUAGACUAGUAGCUCAAGGAUACAACCAAGAGGAAGGUAUUGAUUUUGAUGAAACCUUUGCCCCGGUUGCUAGAAUAGAAGCUAUUAGAAUGUUGUGUGCAUUUGCUUGUUUUAAGAAUUUCAUGCUUUAUCAAAUGGAUGUUAAAAGUGCAUUUUUAAAUGGAUAUAUUGAUGAAGAAGUUUAUGUAGCUCAACCUCCUGGUUUUGAAGACCCUCACUUUCCAAAUCAUGUUUACAAGUUUACUAAAGCUCUCUAUGGUUUAAAGCAAGCUCCUAGAGCAUGGUAUAAGAGACUUAGUAAAUUCUUGCUUCAAAAUGAUUUUAAAAGAGGAAAAGUGGAUACUACUCUUUUCAUUAAGAAAAUUGGAAAAGAUAUGCUUAUUGUGCAAAUUUAUGUAGAUGAUAUUAUUUUUGGUGCUACUAACCAUUCUCUUUGUAAGAAAUUUUCCAACAUGAUGAAAAGUGAAUUUGAAAUGAGUAUGAUGGGUGAACUUACUUUCUUUCUUGGAUUGCAAAUUAAGCAAAUGAAAGAUGGAAUUUUUAUAAAUCAGUCCAAGUACAUAAAGGAUAUGCUAAAGAAGUUCAAAAUGGAGGAUAUGAAAAGUGUUGGAACUCCCAUGAGCUCAACAAUUAAAUUGGAGAAAGAUGAAAAAGGUAAAGAGGUAGAUAACAAAUUUUAUAGAGGUAUGAUUGGUUCUUUACUCUACUUGACAGCAUCUAGACCAGAUAUUCAUUUUAGUGUGUGUUUAUGUGCAAGAUUUCAGUCAUGUCCAAAAGAAUCUCAUCUUGUAGCAGUUAAGAGAAUUUUUAAAUACCUCAUUGGCACUCACAAUAUUGGCUUGUGGUAUCCAAAAUGUGAAUCAUUUAAUCUUGUUGGUUAUAGUGAUUCCGAUUUUGCUGGAAGUAGAUUGGAUAGAAAAAGUACUUCAGGUGCUUGUCAAUUUCUUGGCCUUGCAUUAGUUUCUUGGCACAGUAAGAAAC